ensembl:ncRNA lncRNA:CR46477 long non-coding RNA:CR46477
UUUUUAAGAGGUGGGCUAACUUAAUUGGUUUUUUUUUAAGAGAAGGCAUAUGAAAAAAAUGUUUUUAAAGGACAACUAUAAAAACUAAUAAUAAUGGCUAGUCAAACGGUUUCAAUUGAUAAUAUAGGGUGCGGCAGCAUAACGUCCUUUUUUAAAAUGCGGUAACCAUUUAGUUAGUUGAUGACAUAGCAGAGGGCGCUAGUGGUCCCGCCAUCAUGCGUUAAAAUAGUGAGAGCGUGCCUUUGCAUUUGACUCCUACUUUUCAAGCGGAUGUUCGGUUAUUAAAACACAGCGUUCAUUUCGGACCGCACAUCAAAUAUUACAUGUGUGCAAGUGCGACAAAAAGAGGAACUGGAGUCCCUCGGCCCGUUAGAUCACCUGAGAGCAUUGAAGCCGUGAGAGCGUCAAUAUUGCAAUCUUCACGGCGUUUUGCGCGCAAACACGCAUCUGCCCUUAGACUAUCCGAUCGUUCUGUGAGAAGAAUUCUUCAUGAUGAUCUUUAAUUCCAUCCGUAUAAGAUGGCAAUAGUGCAACGGUCCCAAAGGUCCUAGUGUGGUGUGCAAUUUCCUCAGAUGGACUUAUUAUUCUUUAGGUUUAGAAUAGAGGAAAACAAGGUCACAGUGAUUCGGACCGGUAUGUAAAUAUGCUACAGAACCUUUUUUCCUACGGCAAAAAGAGUUGGAUUUGAGGGACACUUGGUUGGCUGUCCGUCAAAUGUAAAUGUCUGUCAUCGUUUCUGACUUACUCCACUUCUCGGGUCAGCACCCAUCUUGAAAAGGUUUAUCUACUUAUUUUUUUGUAGUUAAAUUAAUAACAUAUCUUUAUUUAUUUAUAUACCUCCGACUAUUGCCAUGUUUAAAAAUAAAUUAAAAGCUACAAUGCAAAAGCUACAAAAAGUUAACAACAAUGGUUUUAGAGAAAAGUAUAGAACUCACUACCAAGCCACGGUGCACACGUCAACAAAAGUUGUUGGCUAUUCACGAGUACAAGUGGAAGUGCAAGUCUUUAUGCGUAAAAAAAACUGAUAGUCGCCGCUGAACAGUUAUCUUUAUUUAUAAAAAUUUAGUUAUCAUUAGACAUUUUUUGCUGUCAAUAAAAGGCACUGCCUGGAAGAAGUUAACACUAAACACAACAUUAUAAAAAAAAUAUAUGUAUUUAUCGUAAACAAGAUAAACAAGGUUGGCACGAGAAUAUACAGAGGUGGUCAAAAGUACUGUUUAUGGGCCAAAAAUAGGAGCAUUUAACUGAUCCUUGCCUGUUGACAAAAGUAUUUACACACAAUUUUUACGCGUCAAAAUUAUUUACACAGUGCAAAUUGAGGAUUAGUCUUUGAUUUGCAUUGAGUAAGUGAAGUUCUAGUUGAUGUUGAUCGAAUAAUUGUUAACAGUUAAGUUAAAAGAUAAAACUAAGCAUUUAAUUUGUAAAAUGGCAAAAACAAAGCAGCUAUCAGGUGGGCAUCGAGCCGAGAUUGUCUCUAAACUUAAGACUUGUACUUCUGCAUCCAAAUUAGCUGUGUUGUACAAAAUAUCACGUAAGACUGUGUACAAUUUAGUUAAAAAAAAGGACACAUUGGGAAAUUUGGAAAAUAAAAAGAGAACUGGCCGAAAAGUUGCAUUGAACCCAAAAGACUGCAGACACAUUAUAGGAGUUGUACUCAAGAAUCCCACCAUUAGUCCCGUUAAAAUUGCCCCGGCUUCGAAAAAUUUAAUUGGAAAACAAAUGAAGGAAGUUGACAUCAACUCCCAUGUUAUUCGUGCAGUAGUUGAUAUUAGCCCAAGAAACAAGGAAAAAAGUCUCGCAUUUGCCUUGGAGUAUAAAGAGAAGCCUAUCGAGUUCUGGUUUGAUGUUUUAUGGACUGAUGAAGUUGGGUUUCAGUUUCAGGGAUCCUCUGGCAAAGCAAUGCAUUUCCCAAAGCAACUAAAGGGUAAUGCCGGUUAGCCAAUCAAUCGGUUUGGUGGUGGAGCGGUGAUGUUCUGGAGCUGUUUAAGCUACUAUGGAUCUGGAGACAUGGUACCGAUAGAGGGUACACUAAAUCAAACAGGAUACCUCCAUAUCUUAAAUGAGCAUGCAUUCACCUCAGGAAAUAGACUGUUCUCCAAGAAUGACUGAAUCUUGCAGCAGGACAAUGCUCCAUGCCGAGUACCAACCAAGUUCUUGAAAGACAUAAAUCAGGCGGUACUUCCAUGGCCCGCACAAAGCCCCGAUCUGAACAUUAUCGAAAAUGUCUGGGUUUAUGUUAUGAGUCAGAGGACAUUUGAAAGAGAUCGCCAGCGCGAUAAAAAUAAAAUUACCUCUUGAAUUUGCGCACAACUUGGUCCGGUCAAAGACACUAGAAUAUUCUAGUUAUUCUAGUGUCUUUGGUCCGGUCAAUACCAGCAAGGCUGCAAACAGUCAUUAAUGCCAAAGGCAGAGUAACUAUUUAUUAAUUGGCUUAACAUAAUCACAUAUUAAAAUAAUAGAAAAAAUAUUUCGUUUAAAUUAAAAAAAAACGCAAAAAACAAUUAAAACAGCUGUGUGUCAAUAAUUUUGACGCGUAAAAAUUGUGUGUAAAUACUUUUGACAACAGACAAGGAUCAGUUCAAUGCUUCUAUUUUUAUCCCAUUAACAGUUAUUUUUCCACUUUUGCUUCUGUUUGCUUCUGUAUAGAUGUAAAAGUAUGACAAAUACCGUUAUGUUCGUUUCUGAGUACAAAAGCAGCAGCAAUAAGCGAUCAAAGUUGACAAUUGAAAAAAGAAGCACGUUGUGUAAAUACUUGUGACCACCUCUGUAUGUAUAAGUUAACCAGUUUCCUGUUAUGUUAUGUUUAUAGUAUUUUAAGUCGGUUUCCGCAAGCCGGUGGCUUCACAAUAAAUCCACGACGGAGUAACUUUUAGAAAACUCUUUAUUGAGCAGAGCAAGUGUUGCU